rnacentral:rRNA from 1 species
GACGAACGCUGGCGGCGUGCUUAACACAUGCAAGUCGAACGGAAAGGCCCUGCUUUUGUGGGGUGCUCGAGUGGCGAACGGGUGAGUAACACGUGAGUAACCUGCCCUUGACUUUGGGAUAACUUCAGGAAACUGGGGCUAAUACCGGAUAGGAGCUCCUGCUGCAUGGUGGGGGUUGGAAAGUUUCGGCGGCCGGGGAUGGACUCGCGGCUUAUCAGCUUGUUGGUGGGGUAGUGGCUUACCAAGGCUUUGACGGGUAGCCGGCCUGAGAGGGUGACCGGCCACAUUGGGACUGAGAUACGGCCCAGACUCCUACGGGAGGCAGCAGUGGGGAAUAUUGCACAAUGGGCGGAAGCCUGAUGCAGCAACGCCGCGUGCGGGAUGACGGCCUUCGGGUUGUAAACCGCUUUCGCCUGUGACGAAGCGUGAGUGACGGUAAUGGGUAAAGAAGCACCGGCUAACUACGUG